UACGUAGGGACCAAGCGUUGUUCGGAUUUACUGGGCGUAAAGCGCGUGUAGGCGGGGCCGCAAGUCUGCUGUGAAAACUCCUGGCUUAACCGGGAGAGGUCGGUGGAAACUGCGAACCUGGAGGACGGUAGAGGCUGGUGGAAUUCCCGGUGUAGUGGUGAAAUGCGUAGAGAUCGGCAGGAACACCCAGGGGGAAACCAGUGGACUGGCACGGUGCUGACGCUCAGGUGCGAAAGCGUGGGGAGCGAACCGG
rnacentral:rRNA from 1 species